rnacentral:lncRNA from 1 species
GGAUGGAAGAGCAGCAGUGGGAAAGUUUGAGGCUACCACAGGAAAAAAAAAGUUUGUAGAACACAGCAGACAGAGAUAUGUCAAACCCAUGGCACCUUAUCAGGCUGACGGAAAAGUGAAAAACUCUUCAUGUGAUAUAGAUCAGAAGAGAUUCAAAUGUGAAUGUCGCUACUGCCAAAGCUACAUGGGGAACACUUCUAGGAUCUCAAUGGGGAGGAAAGCCACCUAUCAUUCUUCUUCCUGAGAUAAACUAAUACAAGAACUCAAUAACUUGACACUCAACCCUGGUACCAUCCAACCCCCUCUUCUACAUGAAAGGGUGCAGGAAAGGAAGAAGAUCCAAAAACAGAGGCAGCAGAAAAGCAAAAGGAAUUUUAGAGACUUCUAACAGAAUGGGCAGAAUAA